rnacentral:rRNA from 1 species
UAGUCCACGCCGUAAACGAUGUCAACUAGCCGUUGGGGGGCUUGACCCUUUAGUGGCGCAGCUAACGCAAUAAGUUGACCGCCUGGGGAGUACGGCCGCAAGGUUAAAACUCAAAUGAAUUGACGGGGGCCCGCACAAGCGGUGGAGCAUGUGGUUUAAUUCGAUGCAACGCGAAGAACCUUACCAGGUCUUGACAUUCUGAAAACUUUCUAGAGAUAGAUUGGUGCCUUCGGGAAUUCAGUGACAGGUGCUAGCAUGGCUGUCGUCAGCUCGUGUCGUGAGAUGUUGGGUUAAGUCCCGUAACGAGCGCAACCCUUGUCCUUAGUUACCAGCGCGUUAUGGCGGGGACUCUAGGGAGACUGCCGGUGUCAAACCGGAGGUAAGGCGGGGAUGACGUCAAGUCCUCAUGGCCUUUAUGUACUAGGGCUGCACACGUCCUACAAUGCAACAUACAAAGGGAAGCAAUACCGCGAGGUGGAGCAAAUCCCAUAAAGUGUUGCCUAGUUCGGAUUGCAGG